rnacentral:rRNA from 1 species
AACACAUGCAAGUCGAACGGUAACAGGAAGAAGCUUGCUUCUUUGCUGACGAGUGGCGGACGGGUGAGUAAUGUCUGGGAAACUGCCUGAUGGAGGGGGAUAACUACUGGAAACGGUAGCUAAUACCGCAUAACGUCGCAAGACCAAAGAGGGGGACCUUCGGGCCUCUUGCCAUCGGAUGUGCCCAGAUGGGAUUAGCUAGUAGGUGGGGUAACGGCUCACCUAGGCGACGAUCCCUAGCUGGUCUGAGAGGAUGACCAGCCACACUGGAACUGAGACACGGUCCAGACUCCUACGGGAGGCAGCAGUGGGGAAUAUUGCACAAUGGGCGCAAGCCUGAUGCAGCCAUGCCGCGUGUAUGAAGAAGGCCUUCGGGUUGUAAAGUACUUUCAGCGGGGAGGAAGGGAGUAAAGUUAAUACCUUUGCUCAUUGACGUUACCCGCAGAAGAAGCACCGGCUAACUCCGUGCCAGCAGCCGCGGUAAUACGGAGGGUGCAAGCGUUAAUCGGAAUUACUGGGCGUAAAGCGCACGCAGGCGGUUUGUUAAGUCAGAUGUGAAAUCCCCGGGCUCAACCUGGGAACUGCAUCUGAUACUGGCAAGCUUGAGUCUCGUAGAGGGGGGUAGAAUUCCAGGUGUAGCGGUGAAAUGCGUAGAGAUCUGGAGGA